GAGAACUCAUCAGAAGAACAAACUCUUCCGAUGGAUUUUUUCAUCACUAACUAUCAGUUUUACUCUAAUCUUUAUAAGACGGGAAGCCGAUUUCUUUGGUGAAUUAGUUGGAUACAUGUUUUUUGUUUUUUUUUUUCUGGCGUGUUUGUAUCCGACAUAUAUCCCAUGAAUGAGUAAACUUUGUGGUUUAUGCCUUGCAAUGUGUAUUUCUCCAAUGAAUGAGUAAACUUUGUGGUUUGUGCCUUGCAAUGUG
rnacentral:lncRNA from 1 species